UGCAUAGUGAGUUCUAGGCCAGUUGGGGUUACGGGAAGACCCUGUCUCAAGAAAAAAUCUUUGUUCCUAUGUGUUUCUCAUCUGUCUCAUCUUUUUUCAUUUCAGUCUAUGCUCCUGUCCCUUUUUAAAAUGCCUUUAUUUUAUGUAUGUGUGUAUAUGUCUACCUUGGGUUUUUUGUUGUCGUUGUAUCGUGUGUGUGGUUUUUGCUGAGCUGCUGUUAGGUGAUGGGACAGGAACUAGUGACUAGUCUCUGAUUGCAACACAUGUUUCUCCUCGGUGCCUUCAGCUCCAGUCUGCCAGUCUCCUGUUUGUAGAUAAUCCUGUGGGCACUGGCUUCAGUUACGUGAACAAGAGUGAUGCCUACGCCAAGGACCUGUCCACGGUGGCUUCAGACAUGAUGGUUCUCCUCAAGUCUUUCUUUGAUUGCCAUAAAGAAUUCCAGACGGUUCCCUUCUACAUUUUCUCAGAAUCUUACGGUG